UCUUUUAAACGGCGUAAAAUUUUGGUAUACUUGCAAUACGCAUGACGUCACAAUUUGCAACUAGGUUUAGACUGUGACGUCAGGUACCAAUAAAUAAAGAUGGCAACUUAGGAAUUUUGAACUUUCUACGUACAAACGAACUGAUUUAAGAACUGUUUCAUAAUGUGUAAUUCUAAUGAAUAUUUGAGAUAAUUAUUAGAAUGUUAGUAUAAUAUAAAUAGCCAUAAUAGAUCCAUGAUUUGUAACUUUAGCCUUAUAGUGUUUGUAAAACGUUGCGUUAUUCAGCCGAGGAAUUUUACUGAGGCUUUUCAGCAGAAGUCCUAAACUUCAUUAAACUAUCAAACUAUUGAUUCUUUGUAGGUUUGCAUUGCG